CCUUUUAUUUUAACUUUUUCAUUUUUUAUGUAUUUUUUGAAUUUUAUAAUUUUUAACUUUAGUUACGUAAAAUAGAGAUAAUUUCGUACAGCUUUCUAUAAAUAUAACAAAUAAUAAUAAAUAUUAUAUCUCUACAAAAUUCAAAUUAUCUGAUUUAUUCUCAAAAAGUACUAAUGGUUUCAAAUAUAUACUUUUGCUGUUAGUAUCUGUUAUAGGUAAAUUGACCUUUUACUCCUUUUAUAUUAUAAUCUCAUAACUACCUGAUGGGCCCUAGCCCUAGUCGAAGAGAAACAAACGUGCUUGGAGGAGAGCAUUCAUGUCCUCUCGCGAAGCCGGCGAAGCGAUCGAAGCCCCCCGAUGGCGGCACCCUGAGAAGUCCUUCUGCGAACCCUCCCACGAAAAUAGAGGAAAAUGAGUGAAAAAAUAAAGUGUUUGAUACAUAAAGGAGAAAAGGAGUGUGAGAAGAGAGAGAGAAGAGGUUAUAACAAUAGUAGAUUAGAUUAGUUUUUAUAAAAAAGAAUGAGUUGAUAACAAACCGCAGUAGCAAAUAUGAACGUUACUAGAUUUUAACUGAAUAAAAAUGAUAAAUUGAACUUUGUAGGGAUAUAUCUGAUAUUUGGAGUUGUAUGAAACUAUCCCUAAUAAAAUAUGCCUAGUUACCUAUUU
rnacentral:lncRNA from 1 species